GCCUAAGACAUGCAAGUCGAACGAGGUGGCCCAUUGACAUUAUUGAAGGUUGCGUGCUUGCACAAAAACCGGAUUAUUAGAUUUGGAUUUCCACCUAGUGGCGAAAGGGUGAGUAACACGUAGGAAUCUGCCUUCGAGACUGGGACAACAGUUGGAAACGACUGCUAAUACCGGAUUAUAUGCUAAAUGAUACGUUAUUUAGUAUUAAAAGGGAGCCUUUAAAGCUUCGCUUGAAGAUGAGCCUGCGGCGUAUUAGCUUGUUGGUGAGGUAACGGCUUACCAAGGCGACGAUGCGUAGCCGACCUGAGAGGGUGAUCGGCCACAUUGGGACUGAGACACGGCCAAACUCCUAUGGGAGACAGCAGUUAGGAAUAUUCGACAAUGGGGGAAACCCUGAUCGAGCAAUGCCGCCGUGAGUGAUGACGGUCCUUUGGAUUGUAAAACUCUUUUAUUAGGGAAGAACGACUAGUAUAGGAAAUGAUACUAGAGUGACGGUACCUUUUGAAUAAGCCCCGGCUAACUACGUGCCAGCCGCGGC
rnacentral:rRNA from 1 species